rnacentral:lncRNA from 1 species
AAAAAAAAAUGGUGCCUCUUUCAAGAACCGAGUCAUUGUGACGACCUCUGGGCCACGUGGUCAGGAGCUGUCGAUGGUGUCCGGCCAACAGUUAGCAAGAAAGCAGAGACCCCAGACCCCUUAUAACCACAAACAGCUGAAUUCUACCAUCCACUUAUUGAACUUGAGAGACUACCAUAAGCUACAAAUGAGAUCCGUGGCAUGACUAAUACCUGACUGCACCUUCGGGGGACCCUGAGCAGAGGAUCCAGCUAAGCCAUCCAGACUGCUGGUUGGCAGAAAUGACAUUAGAAGAUAUGGACUAUUAUUAUUCCUGUUUCUCAGAUGAGAAAAACCUAGGUACAAAGAAGCUGAGUUCCUUCCCAUGGUCACACAGCAAAGAAGUGAAGGCCACAUUCAAAG